CAAUAAUUCAAAAUGUAUUAAUUGUGUCUGGUCUCAUUUCGAAAUCUGCUCUGUUUUGGAUCAGACAUUAUCCUGUACAGCCUUGAUGUCCCCGUUUGAUCAACUAUGGACUAGCUCGACACCAGCUGUUUAAAACUAACUUCCUUUAUGUCAGGAUAAAUGAUGUGUUUUGGGUAUUAUGACUUUCGCCGUGUUAUCACACUUGUAUGUGCGUAAUAAUCUUUGGAGUGGUUAAGGCAGACAUUUUACACUGGUGUGGGUUAGUAACCUUGUAGCCUACUUGUCUGAAGAGGAUUCUUUCAAGGGGACACGGACGAAACCUAAUAAGCGGUCCCAACAGUGAGCAGCGAGCACCACGUCAUGUGAUGUGAAGUGUGUCUGUCGACCCUAAAGCAUUGACCUCUCACCCCUGACCCCGUGAGGUCACAGAUGGUCCAUAUCUGGCCCGACCCAGGAGACUUCCUCCUCCAUCCUGAUCCUCAACAUCAGUCAGUGAGCAGUGUGUUGUGUUCCGGCUGAACGCUCCAACGGCAUCCUGACCACCACCUAACACCACCCACCGCCUUGGGCAUGCCUCAGCCGGGCAUGAAUGGGAUGGAGCCUGCGUUUGGCGAGGCGUAUGGGAUCCGUGGCUGUCUCCUCAGCCCCUACCCCUGGCUGUCUCCCCUCUAGGGGGCAGGACCGAAUAUGACCAGAGCGUGCUCCUGAUGCUGGGCUCUCCAGCGACGCCGAGGAAACGGCCCUUCGAGUUGCUAAGCGACCUGGUGGACGACGGGGGCUUCGGCGAGGAGCUGCACGUGGAGCGUUGGGACGUGUCGGCGCUGGAUGACAUCACGCGCUACACCAAGCUGGGCCUCGGGGGGGAGCUGGCGAGCACCGAGGACGCCGUGCUGAUGGGCCGUUGGAGCGGGACCCGGGAGGAAGAGGAGGAGGAGAGGAGGAAGAGGAAGGCACAGGCCAUAGCUCAGCAGCAGACAUCACAUGUAACCACAAUGAUGGUAACUCAUCUCCACGGAAACGGCAUCACAAUGACCCCCGACCCCUGUCUAGGCCACGCCCAGAGAGGCAGGGUGGUCAGAGAGCAGGUGGGACUUGAUGUUACCAUGGCGAUGGAAAGGGUGACAGAAAAAGGAGGACAGGAUGGGGGGAUGAGGGUUUCUACGGUGGAGGUGUACCAGGUGGCAGAGGAGGAGGAGGUUGCCGCAGCUGUGUUGGCAGCGGCGGAAGUCGUUGCCGCGGUGACGGAGACGUCUGGGAUUCUUCCGGGGGGGUCAGUGUUGGAACACAACUACUCUCUGACCCAGGGGGGGGAUAGACCCUCACCCUCCAGCCCCAGCUCUGAGACAGAGACAGAAGAGGAGGUAGAGGGGCAGGAGGAGGGAGAGAGGGAGGAGGAGAGGGAAGAGCAAGAAGAGGUAUUGUUGGAGGAGGAGGAGGAAGAAGAGGAGGAGGAGGAAGGGGAGGACGGAGCAGGGGAUGAGACUGCGGUGGAAGCAGAACUGUCCAGCUCGUCAGAAACAGAAUUUGAGGUGGAACCAGAGCGGGGGUGUGGUCCAGGGGAACGGCCCCAGAAGAGAAGGUGUUUCUGGGAGUACCGCCACGCUCACGCACGGGACUCUGGGAGACAGAAGAAGACUGGAGGGGAGGUCCGAUGGUCCCUCUCCUGGAGCUCUAGCACCCUACCUAGUACCCUAUACCGCAGAGAGGGAAAGAAGGGAAGGCGCAAAGCGAGGAAGACGGACGCCAGCGACCUGACCCCUAACCCUGUGAAGCUCACAAACAUCGGCGAACAGCUGCAAAAACUCAACGCUACCAUAGAUGGGAUGGGUCCUGUUAACGACCUGCCUGUUGUGGCCAGGGCACGCUCACGCAAAGAGAAGAACAAACUAGCUUCCAGGGCCUGUCGGUUGAAGAAGAAAGCGCAACACGAAGCCAACAAGAUCAAGCUGUGGGGACUCAACCAGGAGUACGAGAACCUUUUGGGGGCGUUGCUGAGGAUCAAGGACGUGAUUGGUCAGAGGGUGGAGCGCAGCGGAGAAGAGGUGGACAAAGAUGAACGAGGGAUGACCCAGAGACUGGAGGACAUACUGAAAGAGUCCAGUGGGCCUCUAGUGGCUGGACGGACCAAAGAGUUUGUCCAGAGGAUCCUGGAGGUGAGUGGAGGGGGAAUGACCAAGGCUGGGGCCAAGGGCAAAGACACACAGACCCACCCUGGACCGGGAGAGGGGACAGGUCCCUAAUAUACCCCCUCCCAUAUCACCCCUGCCCCAUCCUGGACCGGGAGAGGGGACAGGUCCCUAAUAUACCCCCCCCAUAUCACCCCUGCCCCACCCUGGACCGGGAGAGGGGACAGGUCCCUAAUAUACCCCCCCUCCCAUAUCACCCCUGCCCCAUCCUGGACCGGGAGAGGGGACAGCUGCCUAAUGUACCCCCCAUCACCCCUGACCCCUCCCUGGACCGGGAGAGGGGACAGCUGCCUAAUGUACCCCCCAUCACCCCUGACCCCUCCCUGGACCGGGAGAGGGGACAGCUGCCUAAUGUACCCCCCAUCACCCCUGCCCCAUCCUGGACCGGGAGAGGGGACAGCUGCCUAAUGUACCCCCCAUCACCCUCGCCCCACCCUGGACCGGGAGAAGGGGCCGCUGCCUAAUGGACUGGCCAACACCACCAGCUCCCUGCAACACCUCUCGGAUACAGCCACCCACUCCUACCGUCCCCCACUACAACUGUCACCUGGAGAAUAGGGGGAUGGAGAAGGGUUGGAGAAAGAGAGGGAGGAGCAGAUGGAGGAGGUGGGGGAGACUGAGGCCGACACCAACUGGAUUCGUGUUUUUCCCUUCCUGUUCAUGUACCGUUUCAUGGGUUGUGUUUUGGGUUAACUUUGAUGGAGUGGCGGCGAGGUCUUGGCAAGGACUCUCUCUACACUCUGCUAGCAUUCCUCCCACUCACUCUGCUUCUCAGAACACUGUUUAUGUUUUACCUUGAAUAGAAGGGGGUGCCAGGGGAAAGUAGUCGAGUCAGAUCUCCACCUUCAGCCCGAUUUGCCACCUGGCAUAUGGGGGGGGGAGAGACGACGACAACAAGAAGCCAGCCAUCUGGUCGAUCACAGAUUGGGUGCAUCCGAACUGACUCCCUGUUCAAGAUAUAGUGCAUUACUUUUCACCAGGGCCCAUAGGACUCAGGUUGUAGGGCGCUGGUCAAAAGUAGUCCCCUAUAGGGAAUAGGGUGCCAUUUCAGACCAGCCAUUUACCCAGCUCCCUGGUCUAACACAGCCUCACACGAAAGGGAAACUAACAGAGUCGGCUCUGACGUACCAAACAGGAGAGCUAGCCGAUCCCAGAGACAGAUCCUUCCUGAUAAUACUGCCUUUGGAAACCCAGUUCCAGAAUGCCUUUGAGCAAAUCGACAACAAGGGCUGAAUCCAGUUUGAACUGACAAACGGUUCAACAUGUUUGAGCACUGUAUUACACAUUUGUAGGAUGCAUUUUUCUGCCAAAUGUCGAGGCCUAUACUAUAGUAUGUUAUAACGAGGUUGACAACUAUACAAAGUGUUCUUGCUACUUUUUCCAUGUUCAUACCAGGAAGAAUGGAGCAUUACCUCGUUCUAAUCUAGUUGGUCUUCUGUAGGUGGAGAACACGAUUCUCUCCAUUCACUGUCUGAAAUGGAUGAAACUAAGGAGGUGAAUUCCACCUUAGCUCAAUCUGUGUGUGUGUGUGUGUGUGUGUGUGUGUGUGUGUGUGUGUGAGAGAGCUGAAGAAGGCUUGUGUGUGCUUUGUUUAAAUCCUGAAUGGGCUCGGAUGUAAGAUGACCCUGGUGGGACUACAGUGACCCCUCAGUGACUGGUCCUGAACUGAAGACUUUCUCUCACACACACACACACACACACACACUACAGACUCACACAUUGUCCUCCCAGAGACUGGAGGCCCUCUCCUGUUUCAAAGAUGACGUGACGCCCCGAGACGGAGACUCUUUUUUUUAACCCUAAACCCCAUCAGGACUGUCAGACACACAGACAGAGGAAGACAAAUGAUACCCAAACCAAUGAUUUUCUAACAGCGAAGUAAGAAGAGGAAUGGACAUUCUAGAACACAGAUUCUAGGACAUGAGGAUCUCUUUUGGAACUGUAAAAAUGUCUUCUGGACUACAAACAGGAUACAUUCCAGAACACAGUGUCAUCAUGUCAUGUACAGCACCCCCCAUAUCCUUUCACAACUCCUAACCCCCCCCUCUGUUUUCAAUAACCUACAAUAAUCACAAUAGUACAAUAAACGCUUUGGAUUGGCAAAAUACAGAAUGGAAUAACUUUUUUUUUAAACAAAAAGCAGCAACAAAAAAAAAAAGUACAAAGUGCCGUACAAAUAGAAGCCUAAUUUGUUUGUUGUUUUGUGAGUGUACUGUACACCAUAAUGUAUAUUUUAAUAUUUAUAUGCAGCUGUUGUAUUAAAGUAUAUUUUUAAGAAAA